rnacentral:rRNA from 1 species
GUGAGGAAUAUUGGACAAUGGGUGAGAGCCUGAUCCAGCCAUCCCGCGUGAAGGACUAAGGACCUAUGGUUUGUAAACUUCUUUUAUACAGGGAUAAACCUACUCUCGUGAGGGUAGCUGAAGGUACUGUAUGAAUAAGCACCGGCUAACUCCGUGCCAGCAGCCGCGGUAAUACGGAGGGUGCAAGCGUUAUCCGGAUUUAUUGGGUUUAAAGGGUCCGUAGGCGGGUCGAUAAGUCAGUGGUGAAAGCCUGCAGCUUAACUGUAGAACUGCCGUUGAUACUGUCGGUCUUGAGUGUAUUUGAGGUAGCUGGAAUGAGUAGUGUAGCGGUGAAAUGCAUAGAUAUUACUCAGAACACCAAUUGCGAAGGCAGGUUACCAAGUUACAACUGACGCUGAUGGACGAAAGCGUGGGGAGCGAACAGGAUUAGAAACCCUAGUAGUCC